rnacentral:rRNA from 1 species
UACGUAGGCAGCGAGCGUUGUUCGGAAUUACUGGGCGUAAAGAGUGUGUAGGCGGUGCUCCCAGUCUGUUGUGAAAUCUCCCGGCUUAACUGGGAGGGUGCGCCGAAUACUGAAUGACUUCGAGUACGGGAGAGGUGAGUGGAAUUCCUGGUGUAGCGGUGAAAUGCGUAGAUAUCAGGAGGAACACCGGUGGUGUAGACGGCUCACUGGACCGUAACUGACGCUGAGACACGAAAGCGUGGGUAGCAAACAGG